rnacentral:rRNA from 1 species
UAGGGAAUCUUCCGCAAUGGGCGAAAGCCUGACGGAGCAACGCCGCGUGAGUGAUGAAUGUCUUCGGAUCGUAAAACUCUGUUAUUAGGGAAGAACAAAUGUGUAAGUAACUAUGCACGUCUUGACGGUACCUAAUCAGAAAGCCACGGCUAACUACGUGCCAGCAGCCGCGGUAAUACGUAGGUGGCAAGCGUUAUCCGGAAUUAUUGGGCGUAAAGCGCGCGUAGGCGGUUUUUUAAGUCUGAUGUGAAAGCCCACGGCUCAACCGUGGAGGGUCAUUGGAAACUGGAAAACUUGAGAGCAGAAGAGGAAAGUGGAAUUCCAUGUGUAGCGGUGAAAUGCGCAGAGAUAUGGAGGAACACCAGUGGCGAAGGCGACUUUCUGGUGUGUAAAUGACGCUGAUGUGCGAAAGCGUGGGGAUCAAACAGG